rnacentral:rRNA from 1 species
AUUGAACGCUGGCGGCAGGCCUAACACAUGCAAGUCGAGCGAGCGGCGGACGGGUGAGUAAUGCCUAGGAAUCUGCCCGGUAGUGGGGGAUAACGUCCGGAAACGGUAGCUAAUACCGCAUACCAUCGGAUGUGCCCAGAUGGGAUUAGCUUGUAGGUGAGGUAACGGCUCACCUAGGCGACGAUCCCUAGCUGGUCUGAGAGGAUGACCAGCCACACUGGAACUGAGACACGGUCCAGACUCCUACGGGAGGCAGCAGUGGGGAAUAUUGGACAAUGGGCGAAAGCCUGAUCCAGCCAUGCCGCGUGUGUGAAGAAGGUCUUCGGAUUGUAAAGUACUUUCAGCGGGGAGGCGUUACCCGCAGAAGAAGCACCGGCUAACUCCGUGCCAGCCGCCGCGGUAAUAC